UGUUUCCCAAAGUGUGACACGCGUACCCCCAGGCGUACGGGGAGAGUCUGGUGGGGGUACGCGUUGCACCGGAGUUUGGUGGGGAUAUGCACUGCACCGUGUUUAGCUGCGUCUAAUUCUGCGUUCUCAUGAGGACGAGGGGUACUCAGCGUUACGAAAAUUAUAGAAGGGGUACAUAUAUGUCAAAAGUUUGGGAAACACUGAAAGGGCACACAGACU